AUUGAACGCUGGCGGCAUGCCUUACACAUGCAAGCCGAACGGCAGCGGACCUUCGGGUGCCGGCGAGUGGCGAACGGGUGAGUAAUGUAUCGGAACGUACCUUUCAGUGGGGGAUAAAGUAGCGAAAGUUACGCUAAUACCGCAUAUUCUGUGAGCAGGAAAGCAGGGGAACGCACGACCUUGAGCUGAUUGAGCGGCCGAUAUCAGAUUAGCUAGUUGGUGAGGUAAAGGCUCACCAAGGCGACGAUCGGUAGCGGGGCUGAGAGGAUGAUCCGCCACACUGGAACUGAGACACGGUCCAGACUCCUACGGGAGGCAGCAGUGGGGAAUUUUGGACAAUGGGGGCAACCCUGAUCCAGCCAUGCCGCGUGAGUGAAGAAGGCCUUCGGGUUGUAAAGCUCUUUCGUCCGGGAAGAAAUCGCAUCAGCUAAUACCUGGUGUGGAUGACGGUACCGGAAUAAGAAGCACCGGCUAACUACGUGCCAGCCGCCGCGGUAAUAC
rnacentral:rRNA from 1 species